rnacentral:rRNA from 1 species
UACAGAGGGGGCAAGCGUUGUUCGGAAUUACUGGGCGUAAAGGGCGCGUAGGCGGCCGCCUAAGUCAGACGUGAAAUCCCUCGGCUCAACCGAGGAACUGCGUCUGAUACUGGGUGGCUUGAAUCCGGGAGAGGGAUGCGGAAUUCCAGGUGUAGCGGUGAAAUGCGCAGAUAUCAGGAGGAACACCGGUGGCGAAGGCGGGUCUCUGGGCAGUAACUGACGCUGAGGAGCGAAAGCGUGGGGAGCGAACAGG